GGUGGUGGAGAUGACGGUGAUAGUGGGAGCGGGGGUGGCAGUGGCGGUAACGGAAAUGGAGGAAACACUAUACCAUCUACGACUACUACUCAAGGUGGUCGAUUUCCAAGCGGUGGCAUCCGCCUUCAACAUUCUUUAGUGUUUUUCCUCUUCACGAUCAGUUAAAAUAGAUUGAAGAUGGUAGUCUAUAGUUUAUUAUUUAGAUUCUUGGAACCAUGAUGAUGGUUAUUUUCUUUUCUGCAGAUCGUUUGUUAUUUCUAGUUGAAUUAUGUAAAAGUUAUAAAGUGGAUUUGUGUUC